UACGGGGGGGGCAAGCGUUAUUCGGAUUCACUGGGCGUAAAGGGUGCGCAGGCGGCCAAGUGUGUGAGGCGUGAAAGCCUGGGGCUUAACUCCAGAAUUGCACCUCAAACUACAUGGCUAGAGCAUUGGAGAGGGUAGCAGAAUUCACGGUGUAGCAGUGAAAUGCGUAGAUAUCGUGAGGAAUACCAGAGGCGAAGGCGGCUACCUGGACAAUUGCUGACGCUCAGGCACGAAAGCGUGGGGAGCAAAAGGG
rnacentral:rRNA from 1 species